UACAGAGGGUGCGAGCGUUGUUCGGAAUUAUUGGGCGUAAAGGGCGCGUAGGCGGCGCGGUAAGUCACCUGUGAAAUCUCCUGGCUCAACUGGGAGCUUGCAGGCGAAACUGCCGUGCUGGAGUGUGGGAGAGGUGCGUGGAAUUCCCGGUGUAGCGGUGAAAUGCGUAGAUAUCGGGAAGGAACACCUGUGGCGAAAGCGGCGCACUGGACCACAACUGACGCUGAGGCGCGAAAGCUAGGGAGCAAACAGG
rnacentral:rRNA from 1 species